rnacentral:tRNA from 1 species
GAGGGUGCAGCUCAAACGGUAGAGCACAUGCUUAGCAUGCACAAGGUCCUGGGUUCAAUCCUCAGUACCUCCA